CCCGGGAUCCAGGAGCUGUUCCAGGGAUCCAGGAGCCGUUCCCGGGAUCCAGGAGCCGUUCCGGGGCUGUUCCCGGGAUCCAGGGGUUGUUCCCGGCUAUUCCAGGAGCCGUUCCCGGAGCUGUUCCGGGGCAAUUCCCAGGAUCCAGGAGCCGUUCCGGGGCCGUUCCCGGCUAUUCCCGGAGCCGUUCCAGGGAUCCAGGAGCCGUUCCGGGGCUGUUCCCAGGAUUCAGGAGCCGUUCCCAGGAUCCAGGGGUUGUUCCCGGCUAUUCCAGGAGCCGUUCCGGGGCUGUUCCCGGGAUCCAGGAGCCGUUCCCGGGAUCCAGAGGCUGAUCAGGAGCCGUUCCCGGGAUCCAGGAGCCGUUCCCGGCUAUUCCAGGAGCCGUUCCCGGGCUGUUCCCGGGAUCCAGGAGCUAUUCCCGGCUGUUCCCGGAGCCGUUCCGGGGCCGUUCCCGGCUGUUCCCGGAGCCGUUCCGGACUCCGCCGCCGAAGGAAGGCGGCGCGGGCGGAGCCGGAGGCUCUAAUUAAUCUCUGCUCUAAUUAAGCUCUGCUCUAAUGAAUCAGGGAAGCGGGGGCGGGGCUGCGGGGGAAGAUCCGCUCGUUUUUCCUGGAUAAAAGGAAGGAAUCGCCGCCUUUCCCUUGAAAUCCGGGAUGUGACGGGAAAGGCUCUGCCCGCCCCCACCGCGGCAUCCCGGGAUUCCCAGCGGGAUCCGCUCCCUCCCC
rnacentral:lncRNA from 1 species